UAAGCGGCGGAUCCCAACCCCUGUGAACAUACCAAUUGUUCGCCUCGGCGGAUCAGCCCGCUCCCGGUAAAACGGGACGGCCCGCCAGAGGACCCCUAAACUCUGUUUCUAUAUGUAACUUCUGAGUAAAACCAUAAAUAAAUCAAAACUUUCAACAACCGGAUCUCUUGGUUCUGGCAUCGAUGAAGAACGCAGCAAAAUGCGAUAAGUAAUGUGAAUUGCAGAAUUCAAGUGAAUCAUCGAAUCUUUGAACGCACAUUGCGCCCGCCAGUAUUCUAGCGGGCAUGCCUGUUCGAGCGUCAUUUCAACCCUCAAGCCCAGCUUGGUGUUGGGACUCGCGAGUCAAAUCGCGUUCCCCAAAUUGAUUGGCGGUCACGUCGAGCUUCCAUAGCGUAGUAGUAAAACCCUCGUUACUGGUAAUCGUCGCGGCCACGCCAGUUAAACCCCAACUUCUGAAUGUUGACCUCGGAUC
rnacentral:rRNA from 1 species